UACGUAGGGUGCGAGCGUUAUCCGGAUUUACUGGGUUUAAAGCGUGCGCAGGCGGUUUGUUAAGUCUGAUGUGAAAGCCCACGGCUCAACCGUGGAGGGUCAUUGGAAACUGGGAGACUUGAGUGCAGAAGAGGAAAGUGGAAUUCCAUGUGUAGCGGUGAAAUGCGUAGAGAUAUGGAGGAACACCAGUGGCGAAGGCGACUUUCUGGUCUGUAACUGACACUGAGGCGCGAAAGCGUGGGGAGCAAACAGG
rnacentral:rRNA from 1 species